rnacentral:sRNA from 1 species
UCUAGGAUGGAGUAUAGUCGAUGAAGCUUGAAGGUUGGAUUUAUUUUGUGUUCCGCACGACCAGUUUGUCCUGUAAACAUUAAGUAAUACCGGCUUUUCCCGCUCCACCGCCCUAACCGGCAAUUGUUUAAAUAUUUAAUGUUACAGGAUACCAAUAUGUCUCAAGUGACUGGUGUAGUUAAGUGGUUCAACGCUGAUAAAGGCUUUGGUUUUAUCGCUCAGGAAGCUGGCCCAGAUGUGUUUGUUCACUUCCGCGCCAUCAACACUGACGGUUUCAAGACUCUGGACGAAGGUCAGAAGGUGUCUUUCACCGUGACCCAGGGUCAGAAAGGUCCUCAGGCUGAGAACGUAACCGUAAUCGGUUAAUUCUCCCAAGAGAUGUAUAAAAGCCGUGGCAAAUGCCACGGCUUUUUUG